GUGCUUGCUUCAGCAGCAUAUGUACUAAAAUUGGAACGAUACGGAGAAGAUUAGCAUGACCCCUGCGCAAGGAUGGCACGCAAAUUUGUGAAGCAUUCCAUAUUUUA